GCUUGCUGGGGGAUUAGUGGCGAACGGGUGAGUAACACGUGAGUAACCUGCCCUUAACUCUGGGAUAAGCCUGGGAAACUGGGUCUAAUACCGGAUAUGACUCCUCAUCGCAUGGUGGGGGGUGGAAAGCUUUAUUGUGGUUUUGGAUGGACUCGCGGCCUAUCAGCUUGUUGGUGAGGUAAUGGCUCACCAAGGCGACGACGGGUAGCCGGCCUGAGAGGGUGACCGGCCACACUGGGACUGAGACACGGCCCAGACUCCUACGGGAGGCAGCAGUGGGGAAUAUUGCACAAUGGGCGAAAGCCUGAUGCAGCGACGCCGCGUGAGGGAUGACGGCCUUCGGGUUGUAAACCUCUUUCAGUAGGGAAGAAGCGAAAGUGACGGUACCUGCAGAAGAAGCGCCGGCUAACUACGUGCCAGCAGCCGCGGUAAUACGUAGGGCGCAAGCGUUAUCCGGAAUUAUUGGGCGUAAAGAGCUCGUAGGCGGUUUGUCGCGUCUGCCGUGAAAGUCCGGGGCUCAACUCCGGAUCUGCGGUGGGUACGGGCAGACUAGAGUGAUGUAGGGGAGACUGGAAUUCCUGGUGUAGCGGUGAAAUGCGCAGAUAUCAGGAGGAACACCGAUGGCGAAGGCAGGUCUCUGGGCAUUAACUGACGCUGAGGAGCGAAAGCAUGGGGAGCGAACAGGAUUAGAUACCCUGGUAGUCCAUGCCGUAAACGUUGGGCACUAGGUGUGGGGGACAUUCCACGUUUUCCGCGCCGUAGCUAACGCAUUAAGUGCCCCGCCUGGGGAGUACGGCCGCAAGGCUAAAACUCAAAGGAAUUGACGGGGGCCCGCACAAGCGGCGGAGCAUGCGGAUUAAUUCGAUGCAACGCGAAGAACCUUACCAAGGCUUGACAUGAACCGGUAAUACCUGGAAACAGGUGCCCCGCUUGCGGUCGGUUUACAGGUGGUGCAUGGUUGUCGUCAGCUCGUGUCGUGAGAUGUUGGGUUAAGUCCCGCAACGAGCGCAACCCUCGUUCUAUGUUGCCAGCGCGUUAUGGCGGGGACUCAUAGGAGACUGCCGGGGUCAACUCGGAGGAAGGUGGGGACGACGUCAAAUCAUCAUGCCCCUUAUGUCUUGGGCUUCACGCAUGCUACAAUGGCCGGUACAAAGGGUUGCGAUACUGUGAGGUGGAGCUAAUCCCAAAAAGCCGGUCUCAGUUCGGAUUGGGGUCUGCAACUCGACCCCAUGAAGUCGGAGUCGCUAGUAAUCGCAGAUCAGCAACGCUGCGGUGAAUACGUUCCCGGGCCUUGUACACACCGCCCGUCAAGUCACGAAAGUUGGUAACACCCGAAGCCGGUGGCCUAA
rnacentral:rRNA from 1 species